UUCAACACUAGCCUGGCCAACAUGGUGAAACCCCGUCUCUACUAAAAAUACAAAAAUUAGCCAGGUGUGCUGAUGGGUGCAUGUAAUACCAGCUACUGGGGAGGCUGAGGCAGGAGAAUCGCUUGAAACUGGGAGGUAGAGGUUGCAGUGAGUCGAGAUCGUGCCACUGCACUCCAGCCUGGGUGACAAGUGUGAAAUUCCAUCUCAAAAAAAAAAAAAAACAGGGCCACCAGUGGGAGACAAUGACAAGUAACCCCAUGAGAAUGGGGGUGAUUGUGGCAGAGGUUCUGCCAUGAUGUGCUUAUUGGGUACAACUCUCAGUCCCAUUAUUAACGUGGGCAUCACAGCACCAGCCAGGGCGAGGGGCCAAGUGACCAGCCAGUCCUCCCGACCCAGGAAGGGAUCGACUAAUCCCUUUAGCAUCCUUGCCUUUUUUUUUUUUUGUCUCACUAUGGAGGUUUUCAUGUAGACUUGUGAUGUGAUUAGUGCAGGAGGAAAGGGUGAAGCAAGAUCCCCUUAACUUCCAGAAUUUUCUCCCACGAUUCCUAGAACUAUCAAGAAAAUAAGCAAAAAUCGUGUUGAAUCUGAAGCCUGACCAAGCAUCUAUGCUGACCACAACUGUGUUUAUGCCAGCUUUAUGACAGUGAUAGGAACUGCAUGUGAAUGAUGUUUAAGACUCUUGAACAAUAGCACGUAGAGACUUUUUCCUAGGGUGAAAAACAGAAAGGUCCCCUGUGCUCACAUUCUGUAACUCCUAUUAUUAAUAAAAUGGUGUGUUUCACAUUUAAUAAACAGUUGCUGGGUUGGAUGGAUUUCCUUUUUGUAUCCAGUGGACUGAAGGUCAAAAGGUAUAUUUUUGUGUUUUUUUCUGCUCUAAUUUACACCGCUAUUUACAGACCUGCCAUUUCCAAGCUUAGAAUGCUUCCCAUAAUGCAGGAAAGAGGCCAGAUGAAGUGGCUAGAGGUCUCCUGCCUCCUGGACAUUCAGAAGAGGCAAACUGCCCCUAACAGAAAGACUUGAGUCCCUGAAACAGUGGCCUUUAACCAGCCCAUGCCACUGUCUCCCCUUUUGUCCAUACAAGGUCACUUGCUGGACAGCCUGGCUUAGGGUUGUCAGAUCAGACACGGGACACCCAGUUAAUCUGAAUUUCAGGUACAAGAUAGUUUAUUUAGUAUAAAAAUGUCCCUGAUAUUGCACAGGCAGAUGUUCGUGCUUAUCUGAAAUUCGAGUUUAACUGGGCACCCUGCAUUUUUAUUUGCUAAGAUGACAACCACUGCCCUGGUCGGGGGUAGGGGUGAGGCAUUCCCAGCAGCAGGAGCCGCUUACACCACACAUUUGCUGCCUCCCAGGCUUGCCCAUGUCUGGUCUCCUGCUCUUCUCUAGCAAGUGGGACUUACUGACACAUAACAAGAGGGGGUUGUCACUGGUAUGAGCAGCCCCCUCUCCUUGCCUACUUUUUUAGUGUCUCAAUGAGACUCCCAUGUCCAUGUUAGGACAUUCUCUCCUUCCGCUGCCUUAUAGUAGAAACCAUCCAGCCAUCAUCACCUAUCCACUCAUCCACUCACCUGUCUACCCAUCUACCCACCCAUCCAUCCAUCACUCACCAAUCCAUCCACUCACCCAUCCAUCCACCAAUCCAUCCACUCACCCAUCCAUCCACCCAUCCAUCCACCCACCCAUCCAUCAACUCACCUGUCCAUCCACUCAUCCAUCCAUCUAUCCAUAAGCAUUCACAGAACACCUUUUAAGUACCAGACACCAUUCAGCAAAUCCAUAAUCUCCCUGAGAACAUGUCAUAUGAAAGAUUCACGUUCUGACUUGGAGCCAAUUUAUUGGGAGCCCUCCAGACCACAGAAAGCGGCUAUCAUGAUGAACAGAGUAGCUCUGACCCAGUAUCCCCGGACAAGCCCAACAUUAGCCAAAAUACCUCAGAUGCCACCAGUUGCCCUGCGACCGAGCUGACUUAUGAGAUGUGGUACAGGGAAGCUGAAGCUAGACAGCACUGUCCUCAUGUAUCAGUUAGGGAAGGCUAAUUGUGGGAACAAAUAGACCUCGACAACAUGUAUAAUCACAGUGGAUGUCUUUUUCUUGUUCAGAUCACAAUCCUGGCAGGGGAAGAGAUUGGUGGGGCAGUUCUCCUCAGCACAUCCACCCAGGGACUCAGACUGUGGAGGUUCUGCUGUCUUCAUCAGGUCACUUCCAAUGUCACUCCAGGGUCAUCACCAGAAGAGGAUGAGAGCUUGGUGGCAUGCAUGGCAGACUUUGAAGGACAGACCUGGAAGUGGCACGCAUCCCUUCAUCACUGGCUGUGCUACAUUGGCUGGCCAUGUGGUCACUACUAGUUGCGAGGAAGAUUAGACAACGCAGGCCCAGGAAGAAGGAACAUUAUCUCCGUCAUCAUUAUGAUUGUUUCUACUCUACAGAUAAGGAAACCGGCUCAGAGAAGCUUCCCUUGGUGUCUCCUUGGACUGCAGCAGUGUUUCUUACAGCCAUGUGGUGUCUCAGGGCAUUCUCUGGAAGAUGAGGCUACACGGAAGUCAAGAGGCAUCUUUGCUGGGCUAACUGUUGAGCUGUGGAGGGCCUGCAAGGCCCCAGAGGAGGCCGUUCCUUGGACUCUGUGCAGGGAAACUUCUCUCGACUAGGAAUACACCUGUCUUCUCCACCCAAAGCCCAAAGUGGGUGGCCUGGGCUUGCAAAGAGACGAGCAGGCUCAGGGCAGCAUGGCUCCCUGCAGCUCUAUGGCCCCGAAUGGGGUAAGGGACUCCCUGGAGGCCUCAGUAAUUUGAGCACUGGGAAAACACGGUCCUCUACUUCUAGUUUUCCUGUCCAGAGCACCCCAGGGCUGUGUGCCUGGCCUUGUGGGGACCGUGACCCUGACCCUGGCUCUCCCUAAGGUGACCACUCACCCUAGAAACACCCUAGAAACUCACCCUGGGAGAUUUGCUAGACAGCAACAGUUUAGCUAAUCUUCACAUCUUUGAAGGUACAAAAGUCCCAUGUGGGGCCUCGGGUCAGAGAACUGCCACAAACAGCCAGUGAAUUCAUUAAUCCUUCCCCAGCUUCUCGGUUUGGCUGCAUUCAUUCAUGUAUCCAUUCAACACAUAGCACUGAGCAACUACUGUGUUUGAAUUUUGGGGGAAUCUUUGGGUAGCUUCAGCUACUAGGACAAAGAACACCGUCCACUGAGAUAUGUAUGCCUGGAGGAUGAAUCCUGUGCGUCUACACAACAUUUCUGAAUGUUCUGAAAAGGAAAAAUAAUAAUAAACAAAUGUGUGAGGUAGUGAUUAAGAUAUUCACAAUAUUUCCCUUUAAAACAGGAAAGUCUGACAGCUAAAGAGGAGAAACGACUUUUG